AGAGUUUGAUCCUGGCUCAGGAUGAACGCUGGCGGCGUGCCUAAUACAUGCAAGUCGAGCGAACGGACGAGAAGCUUGCUUCUCUGAUGUUAGCGGCGGACGGGUGAGUAACACGUGGAUAACCUACCUAUAAGACUGGGAUAACUUCGGGAAACCGGAGCUAAUACCGGAUAAUAUUUUGAACCGCAUGGUUCAAAAGUAAAAGACGGUCUUGCUGUCACUUAUAGAUGGAUCCGCGCUGCAUUAGCUAGUUGGUAAGGUAACGGCUUACCAAGGCAACGAUGCAUAGCCGACCUGAGAGGGUGAUCGGCCACACUGGAACUGAGACACGGUCCAGACUCCUACGGGAGGCAGCAGUAGGGAAUCUUCCGCAAUGGGCGAAAGCCUGACGGAGCAACGCCGCGUGAGUGAUGAAGGUCUUCGGAUCGUAAAACUCUGUUAUUAGGGAAGAACAUAUGUGUAAGUAACUGUGCACAUCUUGACGGUACCUAAUCAGAAAGCCACGGCUAACUACGUGCCAGCAGCCGCGGUAAUACGUAGGUGGCAAGCGUUAUCCGGAAUUAUUGGGCGUAAAGCGCGCGUAGGCGGUUUUUUAAGUCUGAUGUGAAAGCCCACGGCUCAACCGUGGAGGGUCAUUGGAAACUGGAAAACUUGAGUGCAGAAGAGGAAAGUGGAAUUCCAUGUGUAGCGGUGAAAUGCGCAGAGAUAUGGAGGAACACCAGUGGCGAAGGCGACUUUCUGGUCUGUAACUGACGCUGAUGUGCGAAAGCGUGGGGAUCAAACAGGAUUAGAUACCCUGGUAGUCCACGCCGUAAACGAUGAGUGCUAAGUGUUAGGGGGUUUCCGCCCCUUAGUGCUGCAGCUAACGCAUUAAGCACUCCGCCUGGGGAGUACGACCGCAAGGUUGAAACUCAAAGGAAUUGACGGGGACCCGCACAAGCGGUGGAGCAUGUGGUUUAAUUCGAAGCAACGCGAAGAACCUUACCAAAUCUUGACAUCCUUUGACAACUCUAGAGAUAGAGCCUUCCCCUUCGGGGGACAAAGUGACAGGUGGUGCAUGGUUGUCGUCAGCUCGUGUCGUGAGAUGUUGGGUUAAGUCCCGCAACGAGCGCAACCCUUAAGCUUAGUUGCCAUCAUUAAGUUGGGCACUCUAAGUUGACUGCCGGUGACAAACCGGAGGAAGGUGGGGAUGACGUCAAAUCAUCAUGCCCCUUAUGAUUUGGGCUACACACGUGCUACAAUGGACAAUACAAAGGGCAGCGAAACCG
rnacentral:rRNA from 4 species